UAGAGAUGGCAGCAGUGGUGAAGGUGGUGGAGGUGACGAUCCUUGAGAUGGAGCUGCAGGAGUGCGCAGACCGGUUGAUCGGGAACUAGCACAUGAGGGGGAUCAACGGCGGGGAGAAGAAGAGACUGAGCAUCGCGCUGGAGAUCCUGACGCGGUCGUGACUCCUCUUCCUCGACGAGCCCACCACCGGGCUCGACAACGCAGCCGCCUUCUUCGUGGUGGAGACGCUGAAGCACAUCGUGGUGGACAACAACAAGACCAUUGUCUCCUCCAUCCACCAGCCCAGCAGCGAGGUCUUCAGCCUCUUCGAUGACCUCUGCCUCUGAUUUGGCGGAGAGGUCGUCCUCUUUGGAGAUGCUAAGUUGGCUACCCAGUUUUUCGCAGAUGUUCGAAUUUUUUUGACAUUUUCCCCUCAAUCUCGCUCUUGCUUUCGUUUGGAAGUUGAGCGCUAAAGAUGAUCAGAUCGCCCUGAAUGGCUGUGAUUGUUGAAGAUAGGAUAACACACGCUUGUAAUCAACGCUUUCGAUGUCGGCGACUUUCGCACCGCUUCCUCCCUCUUCUCCGCCAUGCGCCAUCAAGGCGACGCCAACCUCAACCAUUACACGCUUCCCCUCCUCAACUGUGCCUCGG